rnacentral:rRNA from 1 species
UUCGGCGGCGAUAGCGCGUGGGCACCACCUGUUCCCAUUCCGAACACAGAAGUGAAACUGCGUAGCGCCGAUGGUACUGCAGGGCUGCCCCUGUGGGAGAGUAGGACACCGCCGAAU